CUUUGAUAGAAGAAGCUUCUCUCUGCACUGAGAUUAGAACUAGCAAGGCUGAUGAGGGAAAUGGAAAAGGUCAACUCAAGAUUAGUCAUACUUUGUAGAAGCUUUCAAGAAAGUGAAACCAUCUAUGUCAGGAAAGGGUCAAAUUAUGUAUGAAGCUCUGCAUCGCUCCCUCAGCCAGGGACAUAUCCAGCAGCUGGCUUGGAGGAGUCCAGCCAUCAAACCAGCAGAAAAGACCACCUGCCCUGAGGUACUCAGUUUCAGCUUGACACAGAUGUGGCCUCAUAAUACACCCCAGCAAUGACAGACUGUAUGCAGCAACAGAGUU
rnacentral:lncRNA from 1 species